rnacentral:miRNA from 1 species
CAGAGAUUUGUUUGAUC